ACGAGCGGCCGUCGGUCGCCCACAAUGGGACCUCAGGUCAGGCGGGGCUACCCGCUGAGUUU
rnacentral:rRNA from 2 species